AAUCAUUCAGAUGAGUCGUCAGUAGUUCAAAACAGCGACGCAACAAGUUCUGCAGAUGAGGUUUUCGAGUAUCCGAGACAAACGAAAGGGUAUGGCUCUGUUGGUCA
rnacentral:sRNA from 1 species